ACAACAUUGACAAACUUCUUGGUUAGGCCAGACCACUUUUAUUUCUUCUUACAGAUUUUUGUACUAAAAAAACCUAAAGGCAGGAGGGAAGAAAAAUAAAAAUA